AAAGUGUACAAAGGGAUCCGUAAAUCGGAUGGCACUCCGGUUGCAAUCAAGCGAAUUUCCAAAAAAAAGUAUCACACAUAUCUUCAGAUUCCUGGAUACCCCGAACCGCUCAUUACAGAAGUGGCGCUGAUGCUUAAGUUAGGAGAUGCGCCCUCAUGCCCCAAUGUCAUACAGAUGUAUGACUGGUACGAGACUAAACACUUUUACAUGCUCGUGUUGGAGUACCC